rnacentral:rRNA from 1 species
GACGAACGCUGGCGGCGUGCUUAACACAUGCAAGUCGAACGGUGAUCUUGAGAGCUUGCUCUUGGGUGAUCAGUGGCGAACGGGUGAGUAACACGUGAGUAACCUGCCCCUGACUCUGGAAUAACUUCGGGAAACCGAAGCUAAUACCGGAUAUGACACAGAGCCGCAUGGUUUCUGUGUGGAAAGUUUUUCGGUUGGGGAUGGACUCGCGGCCUAUCAGCUUGUUGGUGAGGUAAUGGCUCACCAAGGCGACGACGGGUAGCCGGCCUGAGAGGGCGACCGGCCACACUGGGACUGAGACACGGCCCAGACUCCUACGGGAGGCAGCAGUGGGGAAUAUUGCACAAUGGGCGAAAGCCUGAUGCAGCGACGCCGCGUGAGGGAUGAAGGCCUCGGGUUGUAACCUCUUUCAGUAGGAAGAAGCGCAAGUGACGGUACCGUACAGAGAAGCACCGGCUACUACGUGCCAGCAGCGCGGUAACUACGUCUCUAC